rnacentral:rRNA from 1 species
GAUUAAGUUAUUAAGGGCGCACGGUGGAUGCCUUGGCACUAGAAGCCGAUGAAGGACGUUACUAACGACGAUAUGCUUUGGGGAGCUGUAAGUAAGCUUUGAUCCAGAGAUUUCCGAAUGGGGAAACCCAGCAUGAGUUAUGUCAUGUUAUCGAUAUGUGAAUACAUAGCAUAUCAGAAGGCACACCCGGAGAACUGAAACAUCUUAGUACCCGGAGGAAGA